rnacentral:rRNA from 1 species
UUUUUUUNGGGGGGGGAUAANUNGUACCAGGUUUCCGUAGGUGAACCUGCGGAAGGAUCCNUAUUGAUUUUAUCUAUUUCGGGGAUUUCUGGUAUAUUACAGCGUCAUUUAUCUCAAUUAUAACUAUCAACAACGGAUCUCUNGCUCUCACAUCGAUGAAGAACGCAGCGAACCGCGAUAUUUUUUGUGACUUGCAGAUGUGAAUCAUCAAUCUUUGAACGCACAUUGCGCGGUAUGGCAUUCCGUACCGCACGGAUGGAGGAGCGUGUUCCCUCUGGGAUCGCAUUGCUUUCUUGAAAUGGAUUUUUUAAACUCUCAAUUAUUACGUCAUUUCACCUCCUUCAUCCGAGAUUACCCGCUGAACUUAAGCAUAUCAAUAAGCGGAGGAAAAGAAACCAACAGGGAUUGCCUCAGUAACGGCGAGUGAAGCGGCAAAAGCUCAAAUUUGAAACCCUCGGGAUUGUAAUUUGAAGAUUUGGCAUUGGAGAAAGCUAACCCAAGUUGCUUGGAAUAGUACGUCAUAGAGGGUGACAACCCCGUCUGGCUAACCGUUCUCCAUGUAUUGCCUUAUCAAAGAGUCGAGUUGUUUGGGAAUGCAGCUCAAAGUGGGUGGUAAACUCCAUCUAAAGCUAAAUACUGGUGAGAGACCGAUAGCGAACAAGUACUGUGAAGGAAAGGUGAAAAGAACUUUGAAAAGAGAGUGAAAUAGUAUGUGAAAUUGUUGAUAGGGAAGGAAAUGAGUGGAGAGUGGCCGAGGUUUCAGCCGCCCCUCGUGGGCGGUGUACUGCCGACGCCGAGUCAUCGAUAGCGAGACGAGGGUUACAAAUGGGAGCGCCUUCGGGCGUUCUCCCCUAACCCUCCACACUGCCACCGACGACAUAAUCCACCCAUCC